rnacentral:rRNA from 1 species
AUACGUAGGGUGCAAGCGUUAAUCGGAAUUACUGGGCGUAAAGCGUGCGCAGGCGGUUUUGGAAGCCAGAGGUGAAAUCCCUGGGCUCAACCUGGGAACUGCCUUUGUUACUGCAAGGCUGGAGUGCGGGAGAGGGGGGUGGAAUUCCGGGUGUAGAAUGGAAGUGCGUAGAUAUGUGGAGGAACACCGCUGGCGAAGGCAAUCCCCUGGGCCUGCACUGACGCUCGUGCGCGAAAGCGUGGGGAGCAAACAAGAUUAGAUACCCUGGGAGUCCACGCCCUAAACGAUUUCAACGGGUUGUGGGGGAUUUAUUUUCUCAGUAACGAAGCUAACGCGUGAAGUUGACCGCCUGGGAAGUACGGUCGCAAGGUUAAAACUUAAAGGAAUUGACGGGG